AUUGAACGCUGGCGGCAGGCCUAACACAUGCAAGUCGAACGGUAACAGGAAGAAGCUUGCUUCUUUGCUGACGAGUGGCGGACGGGUGAGUAAUGUCUGGGAAACUGCCUGAUGGAGGGGGAUACCUACUGGAAACGGUAGCUAAUACCGCAUAACGUCGCAAGCCCAAAGAGGGGGACCUUCGGGCCUCUUGCCAUUGGAUGUUCCCAGAUGGGAUUAGCUAGUAGGUGGGGUAACGGCUCACCUCGGCGACGAUCCCUAGCUGGUCUGAGAGGAUGACCAGCCACACUGGAACUGAGACACGGUCCAGACUCCUACGGGAGGCAGCAGUGGGGAAUAUUGCACAAUGGGCGAAAGCCUGAUGCAGCAAUGCCGCGUGUAUGAAGAAGGCCUUCGGGUUGUAAAGUACUUUCAGAGGGGAGGAAGGGAGUAAAGUGAAUACAUGUGCUCAUUGACGUUACCCGAAGAAGAAGCAACGGCUAACUCCGUG
rnacentral:rRNA from 1 species